UACGUAGGGGGCUAGCGUUGUUCGGAAUUACUGGGCGUAAAGCGCGUGUAGGCGGCUCGGCAAGUCGGGUGUGAAAGCCCUGGGCUUAACCUAGGAAGUGCACUCGAAACUGCCAAGCUUGAGUUCUGGAGAGGAAGGCGGAAUUCUCGGUGUAGAGGUGAAAUUCGUAGAUAUCGAGAGGAACACCGGUGGCGAAGGCGGCCUUCUGGACAGCAACUGACGCUGAGACGCGAAAGCGUGGGGAGCAAACAGG
rnacentral:rRNA from 1 species